rnacentral:rRNA from 1 species
UGUUGCUUGCAAGGGCGUAUGGUGGAUGCCUUGGCAGACAGGACCGAUGAAGGACGUUUGAGGCUGCGAUAUGCCUCGGGGAGCCGCCAACAGGGCUUUGAUCCGAGGAUUUCCGAAUGGGGGAACCCACCGACCGUCAUGGGUCGGUACCGGCUUCGGCCGGGGGGUACGCAGGGAAGUGAAACAUCUCAGUACCUGCAGGAAAGGAUAUUCCGUGAGUAGUGGCGAGCGAAAGCGGAUGAUGGCCAAACCUUGCGCGUGUGAUACCCGUCGGGGGUUGCGCGCGGGGUGUUGCGGGAUCGCGUGCGCCGGCUCCGACGGGCCGGCCGGCAGUUGCAGAAAACCAUGUGUCAGGGGAACCGGGUUGAAUACCGGGCCGCAGAGGGUGAGGGCCCCGUACCUGAACGCGCAUGGUCUGCCGAUCGCGUCUCCCAAGUAGCACGGGUCCCGUGGAACCCCGUGCGAAUCCGCCCAGACCGUUGGGUAAGCCUGAAUAUUCCUGUCUGACCGAUAGCGAACGAGUACCGUGAGGGAAAGGUGAAAAGUACCCCGGGAGGGGAGUGAAACAGUCUCUGAAACCGUGCGCCUACAAUCCGUCGGAGCCCUUUUGUGGGGUGACGGCGUGCCUAUCGAAAAAUGAGUCUGCGAGUCAGUGGCAUGUGGCGAGCAUAACCCGUGUGGGGUAUGCGUAGCGAAGGCGAGUCUUAAAAGGCGUUUGAGUCGCGUGUCCUGGACCCGAAGCGGGAUGAUCUAGCCCUGAGCAGGUUGAAGCGCGGGUAAGACCGCGUGGAGGACCGAACCCACCUGGGUUGAAAACCGGGGGGAUGACUUGGGGCUAGGGGUGAAAGGCCAAUCAAAUUCCGUGAUAGCUGGUUCUCUCCGAAAUGCAUUUGGGUGCAGCGUCGGGUCAUUACGUCCCGGGGGUAGAGCUACUGGAUGCUUGCGGGCCCGUAUCGGGUACCAACAGCAACCAAACUCCGAAUACCGGUGACGCGUAUCCCGGCAGUGAGUCGGCGGGGGAUAAGCUUCGUCGUCGAAAGGGAAACAGCCCAGACCGUCGUCUAAGGUCCCGAAGCGUGUGCUAAGUGGGAAAGGAUGUGGAGUCGCAUAGACAGCCAGGAGGUUGGCUCAGAAGCAGCCACCCUUGAAAGAGUGCGUAACAGCUCACUGGUCUAGUGGUUCCGCGCCGACAAUGUAGCGGGGCUCAAGCACACCACCGAAGACGCGGCAGUAUUUUGUACUGGGUAGGAGAGCGUCCCAUGAGGGGCGAAGCGGCCGUGUGAACGCGCCGUGGACUUCAUGGGAGUGAGAAUGCAGACAUGAGUAGCGAGAGACGGGUGAAGAUCCCGUCCGCUGGAUGACCAAGGGUUCCAGGGCCACGUUCAUCGUCCCUGGGUGAGUCGGGUCCUAAGGCGAGGCCGACAGGCGUAGUCGAAUGGAUGAACGGGUCGAUAUUCCCGUACCGGCUUUCAGCCGCCAAAACCGAGGCUUGGAGUACUAACCUCCGGGUCCGGGCUUACUGCUCCUUCGGGGGCGGGAUGCCCUGGCCUGUUGGGACCGAUCCUUGUAGUAGGUCAGCGCAGGAGUGACGCAGAAGGGUAGCCGGCCGCGGAGGUGGUCUUCCGUGGUCAAGCACGCAGGGCGUGGGACAGGCAAAUCCGUCCCGCAUGGGUCCGAGGUGCGAUGAUGGGGGCCUUAUGGCCCGAUAUCCGGUGAUCCCGGCUGCCGAGAAAAGCUUCGGCGUCAGGCUCAAAGCCGCCCGUACCCCAAACCGACACUGGUGGUCAGGUAGAGAAUACCAAAGCGAUCGAGCGAAUCCUGGUCAAGGAACUCGGCAAAUCACUCCCGUUCCUUCGGUUUAAGGGAGACCCCCGAUGGUGAACACACUUGCUGUGGGAGCUUUUGGGGGUGGCACAGACCAGGGGGUAGCGACUGUUUACCAAAAACACAGGUGCAUGCGAAGGCGCAAGCCGCUGUAUAUGCACUGACGCCUGCCCGGUGCCGGAAGGUUAAGAGGAUCCGUCAGCCCCUUUUGGGGUGAAGCGGUGAAUUCAAGCCCCGGUAAACGGCGGUGGUAACUAUAACCAUCCUAAGGUAGCGAAAUUCCUUGUCGGGUAA